UCGCGUCAAGCGCCGUAGGCAGGAGCGGGGGACCCAAGGUAAGCGCCGGGUCCGGGAGUUGAGGCCCUUCGGGGUGGCUCGCGACCGGAACCGGCUUGGGGUGAAGCCGUGCCGCGCACGCAACGUGCGGGACACGACCGGGCAACUCAACCGGCCCGAACCCGACAGCUCACCUCGUAGGCGUCGGUGAGGGGAUCU
rnacentral:sRNA from 2 species